AGAGUCCAGCUGUGCAAAUGCAGCUGGUCAACAACAAGAAUCCCAUCGUACUAGCGAGAAGAGGCUGUGCAGAGAAGAUAGUAAACAACAUGACAUUAGUACUGACCUUUUGUUUGAAUGCCACUGACAGUUUAUUACUGGAGCCAUGGAAACCCAGUGAAGGACUUCACAAAAGUGCAGGUUUGUGCAAGAGAUUAUUUCAUUCAAGCACCUUAUACCUCCAUUGAUAAAGCAUUUGUUCAUGUGAGCUGUGCCAGUGAUGCUGAAAAGUGUGUUUAUUUACAGGUGCUCAGGUGAUUUGUUGAAUUGGGCUUUUUAAUUUGUUAAUUGCAGGAAUGCAACUAAGAGAAAAAGAAAUAUUUAAAAUUGAUCAUGAAGUUAAUUGAAGGGGUGUCUCACUCCUAGGACAAAGAGGUUAUAUACUGCAGUCAGCAUAAGCAAUUGGAUGAUUUUCCUGGGUACUGGAAAGGGUAAGGUUUGGAGGGUGAGAUUUUUUUGUUAUGCAGAGGUUUAUGUGAAGGAAAUAAUGUAGUUUCUUUAAGAAAAUGACAGUGUUCCUUUACUCAGUGUUUCUUAAUGACAAAUGACAGAGAUGUAUUGCACGAGAACGUACCAUGUUACAAAAUAGCAAAGCUACAAAAGCCUGACUUUGCUCCUUCCUCAAAAUUGAAAUUGCACUAUAGUUUUAAUCAUGCUAAAUCACUGAGGUUGUAACUUGUUCAGAAGCAUCUUUUGGUCUUAACUGCCAAAGAAUUGCAAACCCUGUUCACAUCAAACUUCCUGCUCCAGAUAUGGGAAAAAUUAUGUAUACCAGUGUCUGUACAGUUACAGAGAUGUAGACGGUUGUGUACUGGAAUGUUUCUUGAUGCUUUUUUUUCCCUUUUUUAACCUCAGGAAUUAAAAAAUAAAAUUCUUUAUCGUUGUGAAUGU